GUGCUUGCUUUGGCAGCAUAUAUUACUAAAACUGGAACGAUAAAGAAAAGAUUAGCAUGGCCCCUGAGUAAGUAUGACAUGCAAAUUUGUGAAGCAUUCCAUAUUUUU
rnacentral:snRNA from 1 species